GAAACUUCUAGAAGCUGGAACUGGGCUAUUCAAAUGAGGAUGUCUGGCUUUCCUGGGGAAGUUGGGAGAGAGCCCUCCCUCUGGAUCCAAUGACCACAACUCUGACAUUCCACCACUGCAAGAUUCUUCUGUCGGGGGAUGCAGAGACAUGCUCCCCAGCUCACAUCCUCCCCCAACACUGCCACGUCAAACCGUAAAUUCUUUUUCAGGCCGUGGGUGUGGUGAAGGAAUGGCUACUAUACAUUUGAAACUAACUUUUAUCAUUUUACUGAGCUUUUUUUUUCUGAAUAAUGCUAUGGUAAUCAAUCAUUUUUGUUUUGUUGAGCUUACUCUUUUGCAUAUUCACUUUUUCUUUACGCAACUUUUACUUUUUUCAUCAAAUGAAUUUUGCAUACCCCCUACCCCAUUACCUGUUCUCUGAACCCUAAUGAUGCACACCCAAUAAUGCGGCUGGAUUAAAACAUAAAUUCCUGAAAAGGCAUACGAUCCACUUUAAAAAGUAAUUUUCUUUCUUUCUUUCUUUCUUUCUUUCUUUGUGUAAAUAAGUUAAAGUAAUCCAUGCAGUGAGUCAUUAAAGAUAAAAAAGCUCUCAAAUUGC